UACGUAGGGUGCGAGCGUUAAUCGGAAUUACUGGGCGUAAAGCGUGCGCAGGCGGUUUUGUAAGCCAGAUGUGAAAUCCCCGGGCUUAACCUGGGAAUGGCAUUUGGGACUGCAAGGCUGGAGUGUGGCAGAGGAGACUGGAAUUCCUGGUGUAGCAGAGAAAUGCGUAGAUAUCAGGAGGAAUACCGAUGGCGAAGGCAGGUCUCUGGGCUGACACUGACGCUCAUGCACGAAAGCGUGGGGAGCAAACAGG
rnacentral:rRNA from 1 species